rnacentral:sRNA from 12 species
UUGUAUUACCGGAGAGAAAUCUCGUCAGGUCGAUAGUUAGGUCGCGAAUAUUUAUAUUUAAGCGUAAUUCUAAGUACGCCGCCCUAAUUGGGAAAAAGCCAGUAAUGGCUUUUUUUCUUUUAUGG